rnacentral:lncRNA from 1 species
UCUGUCUCUAAUUAUCUACAUUUUGCAAGAGCUUCUUUCUUCUAGGCCAAAAGAGGAGCUGAGUUUUUGAAGACACUGUAGUUUAAUUCAUGGCGGUAAAUUGAUGCUUUGGUUCAAGAUUAUCAUGGGUGGAUGCAAGUCUGCAUUUGCGUGUUCUCUUCUGCUACAUCAGGAAAAGCGUGUGAAUCUAAGCUUGUGAAUCUGCUGU